UUCCAUGCUUCGAUUCCAUUCCCCAGUAAGGAAUAUAAAAGAGGGAACAUAUAGAGAGAGGAGUUUCCACUUUCCAGAACGAAAAAAAAGAAGAAAUAAAGAUGUCUUUGGUGGACUAUGCAUCGUCCGACGAAGAAGAAGAAGAUCUUAAAGAAGAUAAACAACUUCCCAAAGCGGAGGAACCCACCCCUUCUUCAGCCCCUUUAGAUCCAUUACCUACCAGAAACCAGAAUCCCCAUCUUCCUCAGCCGCAAAACCAGUAAGUAAUCCCUUGCAUUCAGUUCAAUUUUCUAUUUAUAGGGUUUUGUUCUUUGUAUUUCUUUGGCUAGUUUCGUCUUUCCUUAUGUUUUCCUCAGUGUUCUUUGCACGAAAGAAAGCAAUCCCUUUUUGAGAUAAUUUGUGGGUUUUAGUUAUUUUUGCCUAAUGGGUCAUGAUUUUUUUUUUCUUUUUGUAGUUUUUUUUGGACUUAGACUGUGGGUUGACAAUAAAGGAGGAGUCCAUUAUUUAGAUGGUCAUUCAACUAUCCGAAAUUAUCUAGUAAAAUUGACACCGGAUGGAAUAAGAAAUCAAUCUUGCUCAAUCUAAUAGGAAUUGUGCUUGUGAACUUGUGCUCUUUAAUCCUAAUGAGCUACCAUAAAGGAAAGACAUAUUAAGAUAAUGAAACAUCUCUUAAUUUAAUGAUUAAUGAGAGAGCUGCCUAUUUGCUUUAGGCCAAGGGGAUGGGUAGGAGCAAGGAUGAUGGAAAAGGAAAAGAAGGAAGAACACGGGAAAGAAAAUGGUUCUGGCUCUUCACUUAUUGCAUUCACACCCUGCUAAUAGAACAGUGCCCUGUUUCUGCAUUAUCUGGAGCAAAGCUAAUCCGAAUAUUGUCCCACACUGUCUCUUUGAGAGAGGGGAGAGUAUGAUACAAG
rnacentral:lncRNA from 1 species